UAACUCAAAAAACCACAACAGUCUGUUUCAUCCGUAUAGGAAUCAUCAGGUGGUCUGAUGAUUCCUAUACGGAUGAAACAGACUGUUGUGGUUUUU